UUGGAGGGCAAGUCUGGUGCCCGCAGCCGCGGUAAUUCCAGCUCCAAUAGCGUAUAUUAAAGUUGUUGCAGUUAAAAAGCUCGUAGUUGAAUUUCGGGAUCAGAGUGUCGGUCGUGCCUCGGUACGCACUGGUAUUAUUGGUUCCUACCUUCUGAAGAACCGCGAUGUCAUUAAUUUGGUGUCGUGGGGAAUCAGGACUGUUACUUUGAAAAAAUUAGAGUGUUUAAAGCAGGCUUACGCUUGAAUACAUUAGCAUGGAAUAAUGAAAUAGGACGUUUGAUUCUAUUUUGUUGGUUUCUAGGAUUGACGUAAUGAUUAAUAGGGAUAGUUGGGGGCAUUAGUAUUCAAUUGUCAGAGGUGAAAUUCUUGGAUUUAUUGAAGACUAACUACUGCGAAAGCAUUUGCCAAGGAUGUUUUCAUUAAUCAAGAACGAAAGUUAGGGGAUCGAAGACGAUCAGAUACCGUCGUAGUCUUAACCAUAAACUAUGCCGACUAGGGAUCGGAUGAUGUUAAUUUUUUAAUGACUCAUUUGGCGGCUUACGGGAAACCAAAGUGUUUGGGUUC
rnacentral:rRNA from 1 species